UAGAUACCCUGGUAGUCCACGCCGUAAACGAUGGUCACUAGCUGUUCGGACUUCGGUCUGAGUGGCUAAGCGAAAGUGAUAAGUGACCCACCUGGGGAGUACGUUCGCAAGAAUGAAACUCAAAGGAAUUGACGGGGGCCCGCACAAGCGGUGGAGCAUGUGGUUUAAUUCGAUGAUACGCGAGGAACCUUACCAGGGCUUAAAUGUAGAUUGCAUUAGCUAGAGAUAGCUAUUUCUUCGGACUAUCUAC
rnacentral:rRNA from 1 species